UCAAGCGAAGAAGAGCGCAAGGAGAAUGCCUUGGCACUGGGAGCCGAAGAAGGGCGCAGCGAUCUGCGAAAAGCCACGGGGAGCCGAAAGCAGGCAUCGAUCCGUGGGUACCCGAAUGGGGAAACCCGGCCGGAGUAGAGACCGGUCACCAUACACUGAAUCCAUAGGUGUAUGGGGGGAACCGCCUGAACUGAAACAUCUAAGUAGGGCGAGGAAAAGACAUCAACAGAGAUUCCGUCAGUAGUGGCGAGCGAACGCGGAAGAGGCCAAACCGGAGGAUUUAUUCUCCGGGGUUGUGGACUCACACAACGGCAGGAUAGGUUAGAAGAACGGCAUGGGAAGGCCGGCCACAGAGGGUGAGAGCCCCGUAAUCGAAAACCGAAUCUUGUUAGUGAGGAUCCAGAGUACCGCUGGACACGAGGAACCCGGUGGGAAACAGGGGGGACCACCCUCCAAGCCUAAAUACUACCUGAUGACCGAUAGAGGAGCAGUACCAUGAGGGAAAGGUGAAAAGGACCCCGGGAGGGGAGUGAAAGAGAACCUGAAACCUUGUGCUUACAAGCAGUCAGAGCACGUUAAAGUGUGAUGGCGUACUUUUUGUAGAACGGUCCGGCGAGUUAUAGUAACGAGCAAGCUUAAGGUAUUCAGUACCGGAGGCGCAGCGAAAGCGAGUCUGAAAAGGGCGCAUGAAGUUCGUUGCCAUAGACCCGAAACCGGGUGACCUACGCAUGAGCAGGUUGAAGUGGGGGUGAAACCCCAUGGAGGACCGAACCGACCCCCGUUGCAAUGGUGGCGGAUGACUUGUGUGUAGCGGUGAAAUUCCAAUCGAACUCGGAGAUAGCUGGUUCUCCCCGAAAUAGCUUUAGGGCUAGCGUUGUGUUAGAUUACCGGAGGUAAAGCACUGAAUGGUUUAGGGGCUGAUAAAGUUACCGACGCCUAUCAAACUCUGAAUGCCGGAUAAUUGAUGCACAGCAGUCAGACAGUGUGAGAUAAGUUUCAUUGUCAAAAGGGAAACAGCCCAGACCUACAGCUAAGGUCCCAAAUGUAUGCUAAGUGGAAAACGAUGUGGAAUUGCGAAAACAACCAGGAUGUUGGCUCAGAAGCAGCCACACAUUAAAAGAGUGCGUAAUAGCUCACUGGUCGAGUGACUCUGCGCGGAAAAUGUAACGGGGCUAAGCAUACAACCGAAGCUUAGGAUUGUCAAAAGACAGUGGUAGGGGAGCGUUCUGUACGGGGCGAAGUCGCAGCGGGAGCAGCGGUGGACUGUACAGAAGUGAGAAUGCCGGAAUGAGUAGCGAGAAUUAUGUGGGAAUCAUAAUGGCCGAAAAUCUAAGGUUUCUUGGGGAAGGUUCGUCCGCCCAAGGUAAGUCGGGAGCUAAGCUCAGGCCGAGAGGCGUAGGCGAUGCACAUACGGUAGAAAUUCCGUAACCACCGAAACUUAAACAGAGGGACACUUCGAAAUAGCGGAACCCGGGCGUUGGUUGACCCGGGCGUAAGGGAGCGAAAUUAGAGUAGCGAAGUCCGCGAUGUUCGGAGGCGAGAAAAGCUCUGAGGUAUGCUAAGGUGCCCGUACCGCAAACCGACACAGGUAGAUGAGGAGAGAAUCCUAAGGCCAACGGGAGAAGGGUUGUUAAGGAACUCGGCAAAUUGACCCCGUAACUUCGGAAGAAGGGGAGCCCCCUACGGGGGGUCGCAGAGAAAUGGCCCAAGCAACUGUUUACCAAAAACACAGGUCUAUGCUAAAUCGAAAGAUGACGUAUAUGGGCUGACGCCUGCCCGGUGCCGGAAGGUUAAGAGGAGAUGUCAGGCAACGAAGCAUUGAAUUUAAGCCCCGGUAAACGGCGGCCGUAACUAUAACGGUCCUAAGGUAGCGAAAUUCCUUGUCAGGUAAGUUCUGACCCGCACGAAAGGCGUAAUGAUUUGGGCGCUGUCUCGGCAGCAGACUCGGUGAAAUCUUAGUACCUGUGAAGAUGCAGGUUACCCGCAACUAGACGGAAAGACCCCAUGGAGCUUUACUGUAGCCUGAUAUUGAGUUUUGAUCAAGUAUGUACAGGAUAGGUGGGAGACGAAGAAGUUGGGACGUCAGUUUCAAUGGAGUCGACGUUGGGAUACCACUCUUAGUUGAUUGAAAUUCUAACCUAUAUCCGUGAACCGGGUAAGGGACAGUGUCAGGUGGGCAGUUUGACUGGGGCGGUCGCCUCCUAAAGAGUAACGGAGGCGCCCAAAGGUACCCUCAGAUUGGUUGGAAAUCAAUCGACGAGCGCAAAUGCAGAAGGGUGCUUGACUGCAAGACAGACAAGUCGAGCAGGGACGAAAGUCGGGAUUAGUGAUCCGGCGGUGCAGAAUGGAAUGGCCGUCGCUUAACGGAUAAAAGCUACCCUGGGGAUAACAGGCUGAUCUCGCCCAAGAGUUCACAUCGACGGCGAGGUUUGGCACCUCGAUGUCGGCUCAUCGCAUCCUGGAGCUGAAUUCGGUUCCAAGGGUUGGGCUGUCCGCCCAUUAAAGCGGUACGCGAGCUGGGUUCAGAACGUCGUGAGACAGUUCGGUCCCUAUCUGUUGUGGGCGUAGGAAAUUUGAGGAGAGCUGUCCUUAGUACGAGAGGACCGGGAUGGACCCACCGCUGGUGCACCAGUUGUAUCGCCAGAUGCAUAGCUGGGUAGCUAAGUGGGGAACGGAUAAACGCUGAAGGCAUCUAAGCGUGAAACCGACUCCGAGAUGAGAUUUCCCAUUUCCUAGAGAAAGUAAGACCCCUUGAAGACGACGAGGUAGAUAGGUCAGAGAUGGAAGCACAGUGAUGUGUGGAGUUGACUGAUACUAAUCGGUCGAGGAUUUAAUCAC
rnacentral:rRNA from 1 species